ensembl:lncRNA
AGAGAAAUCGCUUCACCAGCCUGGCUCUCCAUUUCCUCAUGAAUGAAAAUGAAGUGUUUAGAGAGGUCACCACAGAAGUCCUGAAGUGCUGUUUGGGAAAAGACAGAUACUGCUUCAAGAUAACAUUUCACCCACUGGAUCUCAGUGAGGGCAGAGCUGAAUCAGUUUUGCUAAAUAUACCAGCUUCUCCAACCCACUGCCUGCCUGACCUCCAAGGCAUGUCAGCAUUUGGAGAAAGGAAAAAGAGGCAUUUCCGCUUUGUGAAAGCUUUAUCUACAGGCUCCCACUGGCUCUGCCUCGCGCCUGGCAGUGUAUAGAUGUCAGGGCUGCCCUCAGCUCGUCCCAGCUCUCCUCGCUUGCUGUGUCCACGUGCCGGUUCUGUGUCUUCAGCUGAACUUAAGGAGGAUGAGAUUAGGACACAGACACAUACGGAGGCAGGACCCUGUGAAGACACAGGGGGAAGACAGGCUUCUAUAAGCCGAGGAGAAAAGACUCAGAAAAAACCAACCUUGCUGAUAUCUUGAUCUCAGACUUCCAGCCUCCAGAAUCGUGAGAAAAUUAAUUUCUAUUAAGCUACAAGUCUGUGGUACAUUUUUAUGGCAACCCUAGCAAUCGAACAUAGCAAGUAUACAGAUGAAUUUUGUGUAUUUUAGAUGCUUGUGGAAAGUAUAUUCACUUUGAAAUUACAUACUUAAUACCUGAUUGUUGUAAAAAAAUUUGGAAACAGAAAAGAGAAUGAGAAUUUGAUGAAACUUCAGUUUCACCCUCCCUCCCCGCUGGUGCAUAUCCUUCCAAAGCUUCUUAAAAAAGAAAAAUAUACAUAUAUAUAUAUAUACAUAUAAGUUUUUGAAGUGGAUAAUACACAGUCUAUAAUCAACUUUUUCACGAAAUAUAUGUCACUUUUCUCUUCCA